rnacentral:rRNA from 1 species
CGGCCGCGUCGACCGGUCCUAAGGUAGCGAAAUUCCUUGUCGGGUAAGUUCCGACCUGCACGAAUGGUGUAACGAUCUGGGCACUGUCUCAACCGUGAGCUCGGUGAAAUUGUAGUAUCGGUGAAGAUGCCGAUUACCCGCGAUGGGACGAAAAGACCCCGUGAACCUUUACUAUAGCUUUACAUUGAAUUUGGGCACUUGAUGUGUAGGAUAGGUCGGAGGCUAUGAAGCAGGUACGCCAGUAUUUGUGGAGCCGUCGUUGAAAUACGACCCUUUGAUUGUUUGAAUUCUAACCCGCGGGAUGCGGGGACACUGUAUGGUGGGUAGUUUGACUGGGGUGGUCGCCUCCAAAAGUGUAACGGAGGCUUCUAAAGGUACCCUCAGACCGAUUGGUAACCGGUCGCAGAGUGUAAUGGCAUAAGGGUGCUUGACUGGGAGACAUACAAGUCGAUCAGGUAGGAAACUAGAGCAUAGUGAUCCGGUGGUUCCGUAUGGAAGGGCCAUCGCUCAAAGGAUAAAAGGUACUCCGGGGAAGUCGACGCGGCCG